rnacentral:rRNA from 1 species
GACGAACGCUGGCGGCGUGCUUAACACAUGCAAGUCGAACGAGGUCCAUCGGUAGCUUGCUACCGAGAAGACCUAGUGGCGAACGGGUGAGUAACGCGUGGGCAACCUACCCCGGAGAUUGGGAUAACCGGUGGAAACACCGGCUAAUACCGAAUAUCGUUCUUUUAUCGCAUGAUAGAAAACGAAAUGUUCAGGCGCUCCGGGAUGGGCCCGCGUCCCAUUAGCUUGUUGGUAGGGUAACGGCCUACCAAGGCGACGAUGGGUAGCCGGCCUGAGAGGGCGAUCGGCCACACUGGGACUGAGACACGGCCCAGACUCCUACGGGAGGCAGCAGUGGGGAAUAUUGCGCAAUGGGCGAAAGCUUGACGCAGCAACGCCGCGUGGAGGAUGAAGGUUUUCGGAUCGUAAACUCCUUUCAGCAGGGACGAAGGUUAUCUUUGAUAACUGACGGUACCUGCAGAAGAAGCUCCGGCUAACUACGUG